AGAAUCAACGCUGGCGGCGUGCCUCAGACAUGCAAGUCGAACGCGAAAGGCCCCUUCGGGGGCCGAGUAGAGUGGCGCACGGGUGAGUAACACGUGGGUAAUUUGCCUUCGGGUGGGGAAUAACAGCCGGAAACGGCUGCUAAUACCGCAUAAUGCAGCGGCAUCUAUGAUGACAGUUGUUAAAGCGGGGGAUUCGCAAGAACCUCGCGCCUGAAGAGAAGCCCGCGGCGGAUUAGCUAGUUGGUAGGUAAUGGCCUACCAAGGCGACGAUCCGUA
rnacentral:rRNA from 1 species